rnacentral:rRNA from 1 species
CCUACGGGCGGCUGCAGUGAGGAAUAUUGCGCAAUGGCCGAAAGGCUGACGCAGCGACGCCGCGUGAAGGAUGAAGUCCGUUAGGAUGUAAACUUCUUUUGCGAGGGAUGAAUGUUCCGCCUUGUGCGGACUUGACCGUACCUCGCGAAUAAGGGUCGGCCAACUACGUGCCAGCAGCCGCGGUAAUACGUAGGACCCGAGCGUUGUCCGGAAUUACUGGGUGUAAAGGGCGUGUAGGUGGAUCUCUCAGUCGGUGGUGAAAUCCUGCGGCUUAACCGCAGAACUGCCUCCGAUACUGGAGAUCUUGAGUACGGCAGAGGGAGAUGGAAUUCAUGGUGUAGCGGUGAAAUGUGUAGAUAUCAUGAAGAACACCAGUUGCGAAGGCGGUCUCCUGGUCCGUUACUGACACUGAGGCGCGAAAGCGUGGGGAGCAAACAGGAUUAGAUACCCUGGUAGUC